rnacentral:rRNA from 1 species
CAAUAGCGUAUAUUAAAGUUGUUGCAGUUAAAAAGCUCGUAGUUGGAUUUCUGGCCGAGUGUCCCCAGGCCAGCAUGACGUUUGGUCCUGGGCGCUCUGCCAUCCUUCUGUCAACCUUCGCCUCGUUCAUUCGUGGCUUUGGGGCUCAGAUAUUUUACCUUGAGAAAAUUAGAGUGUUUCAGGCAGGCUUUCGCCGGAAUACAUUAGCAUGGAAUAAUGGAAAAGGACUUCAACCUCUUCUGUUGGUCUGAGAGGCUGUAGUAAUAGAUUAAUAAGGGAGUAGUUGGGGGUCGGAUUAGUUACUUAACUUGUCAGAGGUGGAAAUUACUUCCGAUUUGUUUAAAGAACUAACUUAAUUGCGAAAGACAUUUGUCCAA